rnacentral:rRNA from 1 species
AACGAACGCUGGCGGCGUGCCUAACACAUGCAAGUCGAACGAGAAAGGGGCUUCGGCUCCGAGUAAAGUGGCGCACGGGUGAGUAACACGUAGGUAACCUGCCUCUAAGAUUGGGAUAACAUGUCGAAAGACGUGCUAAUACCGAAUAAGACCACGGCUUCCUCGGAAGCAGGGGUCAAAGAUAGCCUCUACUUGUAAGCUAUCACUUAGAGAUGGGCCUGCGUACCAUUAGCUAGUUGGUAGGGUAAUGGCCUACCAAGGCAAAGAUGGUUAGCUGGUCUGAGAGGAUGAUCAGCCACACUGGAACUGAGACACGGCCCAGACCUCCUACGGGAGGCAGCAGUGGGGAAUUAUUGGACAAUGGGCGCAAGCCUGAUCCAGCGAUGCCGCGUGUGUAGAAG